GAGGUUUCAUCUUAACAUUUGUCAGUGUGUUCAGUGAGAAUAAAGCAGGGCAUUGAAAAAGAAAACCAACACAUCCCCCCCGCCCCACACACACAUGCACACACAUUAUUCACAUCACUUUAAAUUUUCUCUAGAUUCAAGGGUAAUGGUAGCAAGGCCUUUGCUUUCCUCUCAGACAUAGUGCACACCAGCUUUGUGGUGAAGUGAAUGAAAUCAGACCACUCUUUUGUCUUAAAAAUAUGUGCAAAUGAUGUUUUUGUCUUCAUGAUCAAGCUUAAUUACCAAGUGGAAAAUGCUUGCUUAGCACAGAGAGCAGUAAUGAAAUAAGUGGUUUUGAAUGAUAGAAUUUGGAUUUAUUCUCCUUUGGUCAGAGCUGAGAUUUUGUAGAAACUGGGGAGCUUUCCUCACAAGUGACCAAGAUACACCAUGUGGGAUCCCAUCUCACCAAUCACCACUCCUUGACUAUGUGCUCACCUUCAAAUGCCCAGGGAUCUGUGUAAAAACAAACUUUUAUGUAUUCAACAUACCCAGUCAGUACCAUCAGGGAGAAACAAGUGAUUGCACUGAGUAGUUUCAUUUACAAAGUUAAACUAAAUCAGAGUUAGUUUCUCUUUUAACCCCCUCAGAAAUAUUAUGACUACUCUUUAAAACCACGAAGGUCUGAUCCUCAGGCAUGCAAAAUGAGCAUGGGAAUCAGACACUGGCCAGAGCCUGCUAUUUACAGCAAAGAAAGGCAAGGGUGGGAAACCUGCAUCCUCUCAUUGCUGCUUGAAGGCCAAGUGAUGUUCCUAUAGCAGGAGCUUUAUCUGUUUAAGCUGAAAAACAUCUGUAUUAUUUUCAGCAAAACCCUGACUGCGUCUCAACAGAGAUACGAUCUAGUUCAACUAAGAGCCCUCUGAAGUGUUCAGGCUGUUUGCAAUACGUGUGCUGAAGAAUAAGCAAAAUCACCCACAAAAGGAGCCAUGAAGUUUGUGGUGAAAGCCAGAAUUACAGCCAAUUCCAGAGAUGAGCAAUAUUCCCACCUUUGUUCACAGCUCAUGUGCUGCGAGCAUGGUCUACAAAAGCAAAGGUGGAAACCAAAUGUCCAGAGAGCAUUGAGGUCUUUCCAGGCCCACGUGGGCUCUUCCUGGUAAGCUUGACACUGAACUGUCCCCAAGACACAGAGAUUCCUUUCCCUCAUGCCUUCAAGGAUUUACUACCCAGCAGGUUGGUCUCUCCAAUGCCAGCAGAUGAAAGGAUAUUCAGUUCAUGCUCUGAGCAGCAUUUUCAUUUCCUCUGGGUCUUGUGGAGCUCCUGCUAUUGACCAACUCAUUCUGCAGCCAUGCCCCCACAUCUUUUGGCAUCCCAGACACCUACAGAAUAUGCAGAAGGCGGCUAAAAAUGAGAGAUAAAUUCCAAUAGUGAGGACACAAGGCAAUGAAGCCCUUUGAGGACUGGACUACUUCAU